GUAGGGAGACACGGAGAGGCAGUGGGGAUGCCAAGAGAAGGCUGUGCUCAGGAGUCGUCGGCUACCGCGUCCGAGAUCGUGCGAUUAGAGCACACACGUGUAAUCCAGACCGUGGAAUCGGCCAGGUUUUUUUUUCCUGCGGUCCUGCAAAGAAUGAUGGCGAGCUAGAGACCAGGCCGAGAGCCUAACCGGAGCUCCGGUUUUCCAGCCGGAGACCAAGUGCUACCUCUGCCGGGCCGGUAGGGGCUCCUGAAGCCAGCAACCUCUCACCCCCACACGACUUGACCUACACCCACACAACCCA